GGUGAACGCUAGCUACAGGCUUAACACAUGCAAGUCGCGGGGCAGCAUGGUGGUUGCUUGCUCUCACCGAUGGCGACUGGCGGACGGGUGAGUAACGCGUCUCCAUCCUGCCCUUCGCCACGGGAUACCCCGGCGAAAGUCGGACUAAUACCGAUAGGUGUUCCUUGACGGCGCACGAGUUGGUCGGACGGUGUGGCGGUGAAGGAGGGGGAUGCGGCCGAUUAGCUGGACGGCGGGGUGACGGCCCACCGUGGCGACGAUCGGUAGGGGUGCUGAGAGGAAGGUCCCCCACACUGGAACUGAGCCACGGUCCAGACUCCUACGGGAGGCAGCAGUGAGGAAUAUUGGUCAAUGGGCGUAAGCCUGAACCAGCCAAGUAGCGUGCAGGAUGACGGCCCUAUGGGUUGUAAACUGCUUUUAUGCGGGGAUAAAGUGGCCCACGUGUGGGUUUUUGCAGGUACCGCAUGAAUAAGGACCGGCUAAUUCCGUG
rnacentral:rRNA from 1 species